rnacentral:rRNA from 1 species
AUGAUGCAUUAUUGGCCUAUAGAACUGCAUAUAAAAAUACUAUGGGUAUGUCUCCGUAUAAAAUGGUAUAUGGAAAAGCAUGUCACUUGCCUCUCGAACUAG